UUCAGACAUGUGCUUUUGAGAUGGUGAGAAUUAACUCAGUCUGGGCUCGGCCUUGUCCUAGAAGACAGGAGCUUAACUUUAGCUCUUGAGAGAGAGGGGAAGGAGACAUACUUUAACAAGCACAUGUUCACGCUGGGUUGGGUCGCUUGGCCAGCAUUCAUUCAAAAAAGAGAAAGGCAUGGCUAACGACUAUACUUUGGACGCUUUAUAUGAUACUUUCUUUAUUGCCUCUGUGUGUGUACAUGUUUUACUGUGUAAUGUUUGAGCCUCUUACUUUCUGUCUUAAAAUUUGGAGGGCCAGUUACUUCUGACUUCCUCUUUUCUUAAAUAGGGAGAAACAUUUUGAAAUAAAACAAUCCGAAUAUGU